rnacentral:rRNA from 1 species
CAAAACAUGUCUUAUUGAUAAUAAUUUUAAGUCGAUCUGCCCAAUGAUAAUUAUUUAAUGGCUGCAGUAUAACUGACUGUACAAAGGUAGCAUAAUCAAUUGGUUUUUAAAUGGAAUCUGGAAUGAAAGGAUUAAUGAAAUAUAUUCUGUCUCAUAUAUAUUUUAUGAAUUUAAAAUUUUAAUAAAAAUGUUAAAAUUUUUUUAUGGGACGAUAAGACCCUAUAGAAUUUUAUAUAAAAUUUUAUUUGUAAUUAAUAUAAAUUAAAAUUUUAUAUUUAAUUGGGAGAAUUAUUAAAUUUAAUAAAUUUUAAUUUUUAUAAACUUUGAUUUAAGAAAAUUAAAUUGAUCUUUAAUUUAAAAUUAAUAGAAUAAAUUACCUUAGGGAUAACAGCGUUAUAUUUUUUUAUAGAUCUUAUAGAAAAAAGUGAUUGCGACCUCGAUGUUGAAUUAAGAUAAAUUUUAAAUGCAGGAGUUUAAUAAUUAAGUCUGUUCGACUUUUAAUAUCUUACAUGAUUUGAGUUCAAAUCGACGUAAGU